GACGUAGGGUGCGAGCGUUGUCCGGAAUUAUUGGGCGUAAAGAGCUCGUAGGCGGCUUGUUGCGUCGGCUGUGAAAGCCCGGGGCUUAACCCCGGGUCGGCAGUGGAUACGGGCAGGCUAGAGGUAGGUAGGGGAGAAUGGAAUUCCCGGUGUAGCGGUGAAAUGCGCAGAUAUCGGGAGGAACACCGGUGGCGAAGGCGGUUCUCUGGGCCUUACCUGACGCUGAGGAGCGAUAGCGUGGGGAGCGAACAGG
rnacentral:rRNA from 1 species